rnacentral:miRNA from 1 species
AAACUGCACUAAGACUUUUGAG